rnacentral:rRNA from 1 species
UGCAAGUCGAACGGAAAGGCCCUGCUUGCAGGGUACUCGAGUGGCGAACGGGUGAGUAACACGUGGGUGAUCUGCCCUGCACUUCGGGAUAAGCCUGGGAAACUGGGUCUAAUACCGGAUAGGAGCCAUUUUUAGUGUGAUGGUUGGAAAGUUUUUUCGGUGUAGGAUGAGCUCGCGGCCUAUCAGCUUGUUGGUGGGGUAAUGGCCUACCAAGGCGGCGACGGGUAGCCGGCCUGAGAGGGUGGACGGCCACAUUGGGACUGAGAUACGGCCCAGACUCCUACGGGAGGCAGCAGUGGGGAAUAUUGCACAAUGGGCGCAAGCCUGAUGCAKCGACGCCGCGUGGGGGAUGACGGCCUUCGGGUUGUAAACUCCUUUCGCUAGGGACGAAGCUUUUUGUGACGGUACCUAGAUAAGAAGCACCGGCUAACUACGUGCCAGCAGCCGCGGUAAUACGUAGGGUGCGAGCGUUGUCCGGAAUUACUGGGCGUAAAGGGCUCGUAGGUGGUUUGUCGCGUCGUCUGUGAAAUUCCGGGGCUUAACUCCGGGCGUGCAGGCGAUACGGGCAUAACUUGAGUACUGUAGGGGUAACUGGAAUUCCUGGUGUAGCGGUGAAAUGCGCAGAUAUCAGGAGGAACACCGAUGGCGAAGGCAGGUUACUGGGCAGUUACUGACGCUGAGGAGCGAAAGCAUGGGUAGCGAACAGGAUUAGAUACCCUGGUAGUCCAUGCCGUAAACGGUGGGCGCUAGGUGUGAGGGUCUUUUCACGACUUUCGUGCCGUAGCUAACGCAUUAAGCGCCCCGCCUGGGGAGUACGGCCGCAAGGCUAAAACUCAAAGGAAUUGACGGGGGCCCGCACAAGCGGC